UUCUGCAUCUGCAAUUACAAGGACCAAAGGCGACGGGCUUGGAGAAUUCACACUUGCAUAAAUAUUCAAUUGGGACCCCUUAUUCAGGAAAUAUAUCCAGUCCUGCAGUUUGAGGGAAAAAAAUAAUCUACAACAACCGACUACAACAGAUCAAAUUCAAGCACUUAAAUAGGUAACUUGCCUUUUGAGACUUAGCUGGGAGAGAGGUACUAUGCAAUUCAGACGAAUCAAUUAGAACAUCAAGAGGAGGAUCUUUUUAAAACCCAUAUAGCCUUGACCCAUUAAUAGUAUCAUCAAAUUGCUUAACCUGGUAAAGAUCCAACUUUUCUUUUAUAAAAAAAAAAGGAUUUGUUUAAUCUGCUCGAAGCGAAACAAACUCAUAUAUGCAAGCCGAUAAUAUAUAACUACAGAUUGAAGGGAAAAUGAUUAGUAAGAAAAUGGCAUAGUUUUAUCCCACCAUAAUUUCAUUACGAGACCUUAAAACAAAUUUUUAAAUCCCUGCACCUACUAUUAAAAAUCGAAAUCAUAUUAGAGAUAUGUCAGUACUAACUACCUAAUAGAAUUUUCCCUGAAUAGGAGGAUUAAAAGCAGCAUAAGAUUACCUUUAAAUACUUGACAAGCACGGGAUUGGCUUUAAUUAGAAGUGAACAAUUAGAGCCAAGUCUUAAAGUCAAUGAUCCAUAAACCCCCAAAACCAGAACAAUAGAUACUGACAUGAAAGUGAAACAUAACAAGAGCAGUAUCAAUAAGGACUCUAAAACUAAACAGCACAAUAUGAUAUAAAUAUACAGUUAGACAAUACACUUCCACAUACUCCCUCUUCCAAAACUAUAGUCCCAGACUAAAAUGCAAAAGUUUGUACUAUUUUUGCAAAACUCGCCUUCUAACUUUUAUUUUUGCAAAUAUCUCCCUCCAAGAUGUAUUAAUUGUGCAAAACUCACCCUAUGUAUUUUUUUUGUUAAAAAUCCUCACAUAGUUAAAUUAUUUCAUCUUAUUCACCACUUAAAAAAUUUAACUUUAGAAUACUCCUUUUAUUUCGCUCAAAUGACUUCAAAUUAACGGGAGGAAAUCACAAUACCAUUAUAUUUGGAACCCUUGCUUAAUGCAUA
rnacentral:lncRNA from 1 species